GACAGAGGGGGCAAGCGUUGUUCGGAAUUACUGGGCGUAAAGGGCGCGUAGGCGGCCUUCUAAGUCGAACGUGAAAUCCCUGGGCUCAACCCAGGAACUGCGUCCGAUACUGGAAGGCUUGAAUCCGGGAGAGGGAUGCGGAAUUCCAGGUGUAGCGGUGAAAUGCGUAGAUAUCUGGAGGAAUACCGGUGGCGAAGGCGGCAUCCUGGACCAUUACUGACGCUGAGGCGCGAAAGCUAGGGGAGCAAACGGG
rnacentral:rRNA from 1 species